rnacentral:lncRNA from 10 species
GGUAUUUACUUGGCACCUACUAUGAGCCAGUGCCCCCCAAAGCCAGCCCCUGAUAUUUGGUUCUCCUGUUUCUCACAAGCAGGUGGCUCCCCCUAGAAGUCAGUUGUAAUACCACUGCAAAUCAGGUGGCACUUUCCGUCUGUCCUCUGGAAACCAAACUUCCCAUGACCCGGGGCCUGGCAAAAUCCUUGGCCCGGCCGCCCUCUGUGCUCAAUUGAUCCCUUGGACACUCGAGAGCUCAUUUGUACGUGAUGGCAUUUACUUCUCCGUUUGUUGGAUUCCAGUUUCAGGCCAGUUCUGAGCACCCGGCCACAGGGAGAACAAUGCCCCCUCUGUUCCGCCCAGCCAUUCAUGUCGACUUUUGUUUCAGCCUAAAAUAACACCAGGCUAGAGGGUAUUUUCUUAACACCGCCAAACCCUGUGGAAAAUGUGGCAGGUUGUGGCUGCUUGGGUCCCCGGCUGAUAACGAUGUCGUGAUGUAUAGGUGAACUCCUGCUCACUCAGGGCCGGGGUGACCCUGGGAUUAAGGCUGCGCUUAUCUCCCAAGACAUCUUGGAGAGUCUGGGAUUCCAUUUCACGACAGAGUCCCUGGGGGCUGAAGUUAUGUUAUGUGCUUAUGAACAAAGUGGACUAUUCCUAGGCAGGGCUGGAGUGGAUUAUGGCUGAUCACUGGGCCUAAACCGAGGACAUCUGAGAAUGUUGAAGAAAGGAAAGGGAUUCCACAAACCCAAACAAACAUGGACUUCAAGCGAAGGCUCGAGCACUAAACAUUUUAAAAGGCCUGCCUGGGUGAACACGGGUCCCAUGAAGAGUGGGUUCCCAGAGUCAAAAGCCUCUUCAAAGUCUCUCACCAACCUGCCGGGAACAGCUCUCAGCACAACCCCUUCACAGUUCCAUAAAUCACACACCGGCAGCUUUAUGCCAAAAGGUGCUAUUUAAAAAAAUUAAAAAUUGACUUGUCCAAAGGGCCUUAAAAAAAAAGUCCUGCACCCACCACUUUCUUUAUUAAAGUUC